GGCCCCUCCAGACGAUGGUCAUUCCUGUUGCCUUGGUCCGCAGGAACGAUGGGUUAUGCAUGAACUUUGUAGAACAUGGUCUUGUCUUCACCAACGCGGAGGAGAUCCCGUUCGGUUCCAGAGAGGAUGCUGCCUCAUCUCGUCUCUAAAAGAGGAGGAAGGUGAGCAGGUCCCUUCACGUUCUCUGGUCUCAGCUGAGAACUCUCCCUCGAAGUAGCCGGCCGUGAAAUGUUUCACAAGUGACACCAGUGAUGCUGUUAAACAAGGACAAUCCGGUUCAUGGAUUGUGACAACGCCCACUGACAUUAAGCGGACCCUGCCGUCAGGUACAGAGGGCACCACAGUGACCAGGAACUGCUGUCCUUUCAUACCAGGUUUUAGGAGGCUUUACCAGAAGGAAUGGAAAAUGCUGGUGGGCAGUAAGAUUGAAACAGCAUUUGAGGACUGGUUCUGCACAAAACCUUAAAUUCUUCAAGGACUUUGACAUUUGCUUAUUCUUGUAACAAAUUAAAACCUAUCCUGUGUGUUGGUUAGAGAUCUUCAAACUGUAAAUACCUUGAGGCAGGAGUGAGGUUUUUAUCUUUUAAAGGACAGGCCCCUACUCUCCUACGUAAUGAGUUUCUAAAAAUGGAUGUGAGCACCAAUCAAUAUUUCUCUGGUUGUUAAAGUCAAGAAUAAAAUGGUAUUUUUAAGCUUG
rnacentral:lncRNA from 1 species